rnacentral:rRNA from 1 species
CCAUGGGGUAUGCUCAGUACGGCGAGUGAGCGGCAAAGCUCAAAUUUGAAACCCUCGGGAUUGUAAUUUGAAGAUUUGGCAUUGGAGAAAGCUAACCCAAGUUGCUUGGAAUAGUACGUCAUAGAGGGUGACAACCCCGUCUGGCUAACCGUUCUCCAUGUAUUGCCUUAUCAAAGAGUCGAGUUGUUUGGGAAUGCAGCUCAAAGUGGGUGGUAAACUCCAUCUAAAGCUAAAUACUGGUGAGAGACCGAUAGCGAACAAGUACUGUGAAGGAAAGGUGAAAAGAACUUUGAAAAGAGAGUGAAAUAGUAUGUGAAAUUGUUGAUAGGGAAGGAAAUGAGUGGAGAGUGGCCGAGGUUUCAGCCGCCCCUCGUGGGCGGUGUACUGCCGACGCCGAGUCAUCGAUAGCGAGACGAGGGUUACAAAUGGGAGCGCCUUCGGGCGGUUUCCCCUAACCCUUCACAAUUGCCACCGCGGCAUAAUCCACCCCUUUCACCCGGCUUGAAAAACGGACCAA